rnacentral:lncRNA from 1 species
GAGAUGGUUCCUCUCUAAAACAAUGGUGCCCAGAAAAUAACUAUAAUCAUGUUAUUUUAUUACUUUGCCGUUGUGCUUGUAUUUUUAACCACUGCAUUGUCCAAAGGAAAUCCUUGUUCUUCUCUUUCGUGAGUUUUCUAUAUGACAAUGUAGAAUAUGAUGAGUGUCAUGAAAGAUAUACAAUUUUAAAGCUCAAAAGAAGGAGACAGAUGACUUCUCUC